GGGGCUGAUUCUGGAUUCGACGGGAUUUGCGAAACCCAAGGUGCAUGCCGAGGGGCGGUUGGCCUCGUAAAAAGCCGCAAAAAAUAGUCGCAAACGACGAAAACUACGCUUUAGCAGCUUAAUAACCUGCUCUGAGCCCUCUCUCCCUAGCUUCCGCUCUUAAGACGGGGAUCAAAGUAAUCAGGCUAGUUUGUUAGUGGCGUGUCUGUCCGCAGCUGGCAAGCGAAUGUAAAGACUGACUAAGCAUGUAGUGCCGAGGAUGUAGGAAUUUCGGACGCGGGUUCAACUCCCGCCAGCUCCACCA
rnacentral:tmRNA from 1 species